rnacentral:rRNA from 1 species
AACGAACGCUGGCGGCACGCCUAACACAUGCAAGUCGAGCGCACUUAUGAUCUUCGGAUUAUAGGCGAGCGGCGGACGGGUUAGUAACGCGUGGGAACGUACCCUUUACUACGGAAUAGCCUUUGGAAACGAAGAGUAAUACCGUAUACGCCCUUCGGGGGAAAGAUUUAUCGGUAAAGGAUCGGCCCGCGUAAGAUUAGAUAGUUGGUGGGGUAAUGGCUCACCAAGGCGACGAUCUUUAGCUGGUCUGAGAGGAUGAUCAGCCACACUGGGACUGAGACACGGCCCAGACUCCUACGGGAGGCAGCAGUGGGGAAUAUUGCACAAUGGGCGCAAGCCUGAUGCAGCCAUGCCGCGUGUGUGAAGAAGGCUCUAGGGUUGUAAAGCACUUUCAGUGGGGAGGAAAAGUUGGUAGUUAAUAGUUGCCAACCGUGACGUUACCCACAGAAGAAGGACCGCUAAC